rnacentral:sRNA from 1 species
UAUUCUGCCCUACGGGGAAGGAUGAGAAGCUUCGACUAAGGUUCGACUCGAGCGUCAGCGAGAGAACGUUGCCGCAGGCAACGGCCCGAAGGGCGA